UUGAACGCUGGCGGCAUGCCUUACACAUGCAAGUCGAACGGCAGCACGGGAGCAAUCCUGGUGGCGAGUGGCGAACGGGUGAGUAAUACAUCGGAACGUGCCCAGUCGUGGGGGAUAACGUAGCGAAAGCUACGCUAAUACCGCAUACGAUCUGUGGAUGAAAGCGGGGGAUCGCAAGACCUCGCGCGGUUGGAGCGGCCGAUGUCAGAUUAGGUAGUUGGUGGGGUAAAGGCCUACCAAGCCGACGAUCUGUAGCUGGUCUGAGAGGACGACCAGCCACACUGGGACUGAGACACGGCCCAGACUCCUACGGGAGGCAGCAGUGGGGAAUUUUGGACAAUGGGCGCAAGCCUGAUCCAGCAAUGCCGCGUGCAGGAUGAAGGCCUUCGGGUUGUAAACUGCUUUUGUACGGAGCGAAACGGUCCUUUCUAAUACAAGGGGCUAAUGACGGUACCGUAAGAAUAAGCACCGGCUAACUACGU
rnacentral:rRNA from 1 species